UAAUUACUCCCUCCGAUCCAUAUUAAUUGUUGAAAUAUUAUAUGUAUCUAGACGAUUUUUAGGCAUAGAUACAUUCAUAUUUGGACAAACUUGAGACAAUUAAUAUGGAUCGGAGGGAGAGUAGAUA
rnacentral:pre_miRNA from 1 species